rnacentral:rRNA from 1 species
UACGGGGGGGAGCAAGCGUUGUUCGGAUUUACUGGGCGUAAAGGGCGCGUAGGCGGCCACCGCAAGUCAUCUGUGAAAUCUCCGGGCUUAACCCGGAACGGUCAGGUGAUACUGUUUUGCUAGAGUGCGGAAGGGGCAAUCGGAAUUCUCGGUGUAGCGGUGAAAUGCGUAGAUAUCGAGAGGAACACCAGAGGUGAAGACGGGUUGCUGGGCCGACACUGACGCUGACAGCGCGAAAGCCAGGGGAGCAAACGGG